CGAGAAAGGAAUUGGGCGCCCAUGGCUAACCUCCAACCUGAGCGUUGGAAGGGGUCUGCGUGCUCGCCGCCUGGGUGGAAUUUUAGCCUCCCUCACCGCCAGCAGCCCUCGCGGCCCGAGUCGCACCUGCUCUGUCGUCUGGUUCACAAGCAACAGGCUCUGAGGCCGGGGUCCCAGGGCGCUGAUGGCUCCUCCUCCCUACGGUGCUCCAGGCCGGCCUGCCAGUGGCCCGGUGCCUCUCGCUAAUGCGCGUUCUGCAGCCUGACAAAGCUCUGGACUUGGCAUAAAAUCCAACUAUUGGGCCAGGUCCAAGAUGUUGUAUAAAGGCGACUUCCCCUGUCUCAGUGAACACAAAUCUGAAAAAAAAUUGAAAAGAAAAUACCCUUCAUGAAUGAUUGGAUUUUAGACUCAUGGAUCUAUUUGCUCCGUCUCCUGAUUUUACAAAGACUUUUCCUAGAAAGUGACAUUACAAGAUUCCUGGCAUAUGAUUGGAUUGGCAAAUAAUUCAGGAGUUUUAUAGUUUCUGGAAAUAGAACUGCCUUAUGACCCAGCAAUCCCACUGCUGGGCAUACACACUGAGGAAACCAGAAGAGAAAGAGACACGUGUACCCCAAUGUUCAUCACAGCACUGUUUAUAAUAGCCAG
ensembl:lncRNA